rnacentral:misc_RNA from 1 species
AUAAUUCGAGAACAAAUCUCAAGAUUUUGUCGUUCAGACGCUUUAUAAUAACUUCAUUAAUUCGAAAGCAGUCGCAGUAGUCGGACGCAUCUGCAAUUUCCUCAGAGUAUUGUAAUCUGAAGUUGCGUUUAGUUGUGCACUCCGUGUCUGAGCUACAAUGUACAAACUGCUGAGUGUGUGGGCGCUGGUGCUGCUGUCUGUACAGAUAGUCCACUCCUGGGACUAUGCGCUGGCGUUAGAAAAACGAAUAGAUUUUUUUAAAAACGAUACGAUAACACACAGCAUGACUAGCCACCAGUUUAAGAACCUCACGGCGUUAGCUUACGACGCACUCCACGACACGCUCCUGAUCGUCGACCAACAGACAGACAACUCUUCCCUAUACAGAUUUAACUUCACAUCCAACGACAUCGAGCUCAUACUUACCAGGAAACAGAUCCAGAGUAUAGUCCACGACCCAGCCAAGGAUUUACUUUUCUGGGUCCAGGAAAGAUACAUUUUCUCGAUACCACUAAAGUCUGGAUCUAAAUGCGACGUCAGUGACCAAAAUCUUGUAAUUGAGUUACAUGAUGAAAUCCCUAGUUCUAUUGCAGUGGACAGUUGUGAAGGGUUUGUUUACUGGACCAACAAAAACAUUGCGAAGCCUACAAUAGAGAGAGUUCGAUUUGAUGGCACCGUAAGAGAAGUGGUGCUAGACAAGGAUAUCCAUGAGCCUUAUCAUCUUGUCAUCGACCCUCAGAUAAAGAAAAUGUUCUGGAUUGAUAUGAGACAUAAUGAAACCAACAAUUAUCAAAUUACGACAGCGUAUUUGAAUGGAACGAAUGAUACGGGUAUAUCAUAUGGUAAUGGACGUAGCCCAAAAGCAUUGACUGUCUCAAGUCAAUUUAUUUACGAUGCCCAGCAAGAUUUAUCAAUUAUAUAUAUUUAUAAAAUGCAGAAACCCAAUGGGGACAUUCGCUAUUUUUAUAAAUCUGAACUUGAAGGCCAUCCAUCAUUGAUAAUCGAGGCCAAAUAUACGCUAGGAGAACAAACUAGUGGAAUUCAGGAAUGUGAAGCUUUAACUAGUUUGCUACAAGAUAAUUCAGAGAACGAAACCUCUCGUCGUAUUAUUUCGGAGCUCGAGAGCCUCAUUUGUGUUCAUGGUGAGAAGACUAAUGCCACAUCUUGCACAUGCGCGCCUGGCUACAUCGGCGAGAGAUGCGAUGUGUCAGUCUGUCAGAACUAUUGCAUCCACGGCACCUGCAGUGUCAGUGAUGAGGGGGAACCCUCUUGCGGAUGUGAGUCUGGUUAUUCUGGAGCGAGGUGCGACAUCAACAUGUGCUUCAAUUACUGUCUGAACAACGGUGUUUGUUACUUUACUGAAGAGAAUGAACCACUCUGCCAAUGCAGUGGAAAUUACCGUGGUUCCCGAUGUGAAGCUGUCGGAAACGACACAGUUAGCCCUGCGUUCAGUUCAGGGGAUAAAAACUAUACUUUGGUCGAUUUGUUGUUUAAUCGGCGAAAAGUGAAUGGCAAAUUGAUUGUAAAUUUUGAAAUAGAAUCUGAAUAAGAUUUCGAUCAGUAUGCAAGUGUCUUAUUUUGUGUAAUCUUUGUCUUACUCAAUAAAAACAGCUUGUAAUAAUUGCCACAAAACUGUAUUUAUUGAUCGAUAUGGUCUCAUCCUACGAGCGCUUCCUAACUAGCGGAUUGUUCGGUCUAUUUGAAAGCGAACUUACUCCUAGCGACCUCUCCUUCUUAGAUACAGCCAGACCAGCAACACCGUAAACGACGGCGACUGCGGAUAAUAACAAUAACAUGUCAAUUCUUUAUUAAAUCUUGUCCAUUAGUGUCUUCUCAAACAAACAAAAGAGCAAUUUUUCUGAUCUA